rnacentral:rRNA from 1 species
UACGUAGGAUGCAAGCGUUGUCCGGAUUUACUGGGCGUAAAGCGCGCGCAGGCGGCUCUUUAAGUAUGGCGUGAAAUCUCCCUGCUCAACGGGGAGGGUGCGUUGUAGACUGAGGAGCUUGAGGUCGGUAGAGGGGGGUGGAAUUGCUGGUGUAGCGGUGAAAUGCGUAGAGAUCAGCAGGAACACCCGUGGCGAAGGCGGCCCCCUGGGCCGUACCUGACGCUGAAGCGCGACAGCGUGGGGAGCAAACAGG